GCCAACAUGGGAGUUGCCAUUCUGGAGCCCACACUUCCCAUCUGGAUGAUGCAGACCAUGUGCUCUCCCAAAUGGCAGCUUGGUAUGGCUUUCCUACCAGCGAGCAUUUCUUAUCUUAUUGGCACCAAUUUAACAAAACGUGAAGGUGGCUGUGCUCCAUGAUUGGGAUGUUUAUUGUUGACGUCAGUCUUCUUUGCGUGACUAUUUCCUAUGCUAAUUUUUGGCUCUGCAAGAUCACAAGGAACCCGAAAGAGGAAAAGAAGAAAGUCAAAAGCUCCGGCUGAAAUGUAGAAAGUCAAAAGCUCCGGCUGAAAUGUAGGAAGUCAAAAGCUCCAGCUGAAAUGUCCUUAUCAGUUGUCCAAUAGAAGGGGGAGUAAGAGUGUGCAUAGUGUGAUUAUAGAUCAGAGGCCAUUAGGCUCAGAGGUGUAAACAUACAAAUCAACUGAGAAUGUUAAUCAUGUUUUGUUUUUUUCAUGUUUUUUGUUUUGUACAUUUUAUAAGUAAUUUCCAAGUUUAUAUAAUGUUGAACAGUAUGGAGUUAAUGUUCAAAAUGGGGGACUGAUGGGUUAUAAACGUUAAAUAUGAAAUAUCCUUAUUCAUGUUACUGAGGGAGCAAGGGGAAUGCAAAGAGUUUACAUUCUGUCAGAGCAGGUUGGUAUCAGAUAUUAGGUAUCCUAUGGAGAGGAGAAGGGCCACAGUCUGGUUUCAGUUGUUGGGUUGUAAUUUGAAACACUUGCUACACCAGAAGUUAAUGUGUAGGGGUCAAUGGAGGUUGGAUAUGAGCCAGGGGCUUGGAAUGUUACUAAGUAAGGGAAAAGGCAAUCACAUGGUUGCGGUCACUGAUAAGGGUGGAUUAGUGAGGAAUGGGGGCCGAGGUCAGGUCACAUGAAGGGACAGUGUAUUACCCAUAUCACUUAACUUCCUGCCUAGCAACUGAGAUGUAUUGGCUGUCCAGAUGUGUAAGGAGUACACUCAGCACAGGAGGAAGUUAUAAAUAUAUGUACUUGUGUAAAUAUGUCUUUGUCUUCUGCAGCUGUGUGACCC